rnacentral:rRNA from 1 species
GAUGAACGCUGGCGGCGUGCCUAAUACAUGCAAGUCGAGCGAACGGACGAGAAGCUUGCUUCUCUGAUGUUAGUGGCGGACGGGUGAGUAACACGUGGAUAACCUACCUAUAAGACUGGGAUAACUUCGGGAAACCGGAGCUAAUACCGGAUGAUAUUUUUAACCGCAUGGUUCAAAAGUGAAAGACGGUCUUGCUGUCACUUAUAGAUGGAUCCGCGCUGCAUUAGCUAGUUGGUAAGGUAACGGCUUACCAAGGCAACGAUGCAUAGCCGACCUGAGAGGGUGAUCGGCCACACUGGAACUGAGACACGGUCCAGACUCCUACGGGAGGCAGCAGUAGGGAAUCUUCCGCAAUGGGCGAAAGCCUGACGGAGCAACGCCGCGUGAGUGAUGAAGGUCUUCGGAUCGUAAAACUCUGUUAUUAGGGAAGAACAUAUGUGUAAGUAACUGUGCACAUCUUGACGGUACCUAAUCAGAAAGCCACGGCUAACUACGUG